UUAUUUCCAGCAAAUAAAUCUCUUUUAUAGCCCAUCAGUUUUGUGUGUUAAGGUACCUUUUUAUUUUCCUCAAUUUCAUGUAUUAAACCCGCGCUUCAUCCACCAGUUUCACAAUGUAAUAUCAUCGCACAAAAAUCCUAAUCACCCUCUCAAAUCCUAAUCACCCUCUCAAACUCAACUUCUAAGAAGCUCCAUAGAAUUGGCUCAAGGGAUCAAGCUUAGUUCCUCCUUGCGAUCUAAAGUCCUUUAAACAUUUUGAGGUACGUUGAAUCAUCUCUUGCUCACAUUUUUGAAUACUCUCUUUUUCUGUUUUGGUGAUCUCCUUCCUUCACAUGGUUUGGUGUUCACUAACUUGAUGUGUGGGUUAGAAACUUGAUCUUUUUAUGGAUUAAGAAUUCUCCGUGCUUGUGUAGCUAACUCUGAGAAAUUCUGAAAUUUGAAUCGUCUAGAAGAGUCAAAGCCUAUGUUGUGCACCCUUUAAAACUUAGUUGUUGUAAUUGAUAUGAUUUCAAAAGUCCUUGGCUAUUUCAAUCUUAGCAUCUUGAUGAUAACAAAUAUCGUCCUAUAUUGGCUUUCUCUCUGAAGUAUACAUAAUUUUAUUAUAGCUGCUGAACUACAGGAUAUUGACUUACAUUGCCUUGUUUUUAUUUGAGGUAUUAACCUGGUGAUAUGUAGUUUGUUGAUGCUCUAGAAUAAACUGUGUUGGAUCGUUGCUCUUGUUUAGGAUACACAUCUGUUGAUUAUAGUGGUUCAUCUAAAUGUAACAAUUGCAAGCAUGAUCACCUAUGUAAAUGUGUUUUAGUUGGGUACAACAAAGUUGCAAGGCACUCAUUAUAUAUUCAGUAAUUACAACAAAUUUUCCAUGGAUUCUGGUUUUUUUUUUUUUCAAACUGUGUUUGGGAUUUUAUUCACUACUUAAGGUCUAUUCUGGACAGAUUUGGUUAUACCCAUUACACAGUAUGUAAAAUUGCAUAUUUCCUAGUAACUCAUAAAUAUAGCUCCCUCAAGGGAGGUGGAAGUAAUUUUUAAGUUGCAAUACAUCUUUCAUUAAGGUCUUCCAACAUGUGUUUUGCCUUUGCAGAUAAUCUGCUUGACUCUCUAACUGUUUUUUGUUGGCCUACAGUAGACGUCAUACUUCUGUGAGUCGCUCACAAUAUGAUAUGAAAACUGACUCAUUCAGUUCUUCCAUUCCUGCGAGACAAAAUAAAGUGAAAUCCUUUAAAAAAUAUUUCUUAACUCUUCCAGAGAGCUAUCAAAUGAUAUCAAAUGAAAAUCUUAUGAAAUCGGAGUAAUUGAAUUCCCAACAUGAGCCUAAAAUGGCUAAACUACGAUCAUGAGCCUAAAAGGGCUAAACUAUGAACAUGAACCUAAUGAGGGCAAAAAUUUGAAUAUAAAUAAGUAAUAUAACCUCAUGAGCAUAAGAGAGUUAGUUAGAUGACCGUGAAGGCAUAGGGUUAAAAUGACAAAUGCCUGAAACUAUGUUUGCCGACAUAGGAUAGAGAUCAUUUCGCAUGUCAGAUACUCUCUUCUUUCAUGUGUCAUGAAAAGGGGCUAACCAUAGAUACUUUCAAUAAAAUUAUGUCAUGUCGCGUCCUAUGCCUGGCAAGGUAUAGGACAGCUUAGCUGAUUGGGCUGAGAUCAGACUCCAUGUACUCACAUGGUUGUUUAUGAUAGUUCACUACUUUCUCCCACAAAUAAUCAAAGAAAAUAAAUUUACCUUAGUCAAUUAUAAGUUUAGUUUACAUUCUUAUUUCUUUCCGGUUGUCUUCACUUACUUUUUAUUUGAAUUUUGUUGUCAUUUAUCAUCUCUUGCUAUACUAUCAUCUUGAAAUAAUUUUUGCAUACCAAUACAUUUCAUGUAUUGAUCAUAUUUGUCCCUUCAUCAUUUCAUAAUGUAGGUUCUGUCUCUCAAGUCCGCGGUCAGGCAUCUCGUUAAGACCUCUAUCUUCUACCAUUGGUGAGCCUCCUUCCUACCAGGAGGUCGGAUGAGAUAUAAUGAUUUUUUAUUUACUGUCUUUUCAGUAUUGGUACUUCUUAGAGGCUUCACGGGCUAGUGUAGUUGUCAAGCAAACUUUGUAAUUUUCAGUCUUUAUUUAUCAUAACUAUUGGUAUUAUUGGACAUUAUGCAGUAUUAAUAAACUUGGGUAAAGUUUCAUCUGUUGAGAAAAUCAUAAUUGAAUUCUAUAUUACAUCUACUUUAUCCAUUUGAAUUAGAAGUAUGCUCGGGUGGUAUGCUAGAAUGUUCGCUCGUACUAGCUAUAGUAUCGGGUGCAUGCCACGCCCAGGACCCUAGACCGAGUCAUGAAAAACUUGGUACCAGAUCCUAGAGUUCAAGUGUCCUAGGGUGUUUGUAAAGUCAUGUCUAGUAGUAUUCUUUCUAUAGGUGUGAAGCAUGCCACACUUAUAAUUAGAAGGCAACAGGACAUUUAGGAGAUAUUUCCCAUUCUUUCAUACUCUAGUUCAUUUGAUAAAGUUCAAUUCUAUGGAGUUAUUUUAAUUCAUGUUUGUCGCUUAUUUCAGAUCAUGCCUUUAAAAAGACCUGUCGGCCAGAGGGCCACUACUAAUACUGGGGCUUCUUUUGAUGCCAACACUAGCAAUUUUCCCUCGACUCAUGUGAUGCAUAUCAUAAAUAGAGCUUGCACUUCUGGAAAGAAUGCUACUACUGAUGCACCUCCUAGUGAUCCUACUCUUAUAAAGAGACCUAGGAAAUCCUCUAUACAACCUUCUCACACUGAUUCUAUUAAUGCUGAAUUUAGAUAGGAUAUUUAUAUGCUCACACAACUUGUGAAAUCAUAGUCCAAUUAUCCAGGCCCUACCAGAUCCAGCUCUGAUGACUCUCUCAACAUUUCUAAGAUCCAAUUGUUCCUCAAGAUGAAUCCACCUACGUUCAUAGGAUCUAAGGUCGAUAAGAAUCCCUAAAAUUUUAUUGACAAAGUUGAAAAACUCUUAAGGGUUAUACAUUCUAGUGACACGGAGGGAGUUGAUCUUGUAUUUUACCAGUUGAACGAUGUUGCUAGUAUCUAUUAUGAUCAGUGGCAGCUUACUCGGGGUGAAAAUGCACCUGCUGCAGUAUGGAAUAAUUUUAUGGAUUCAUUCCUUAACCAUUUGUUUCCACAAGAGCUAAGAGAGGCCAAGGUACAAAAGUUUGUGAAUUUAAAAUAGGAAAAGAUGAGUGUGAAGGAGUAUGGUCUCAAGUUCAAUAAAUUUACUCGAUAUGCUAUGGAUUUAGUAUCUACAAUAAGGGCUAAGAUGCUGAAAUUAAUGUCUGGACUUGCAAAACCUGUACGGAAAGAGUCAAUAGGUUGAGAAGGAAAAACAAAGAUAUAGGGAGGAAUUUCAGAAUAAGAUGGCCAAGUCAGCAGGUAAUGAGUCUACUCAACAGUGGUCAAGAAAUGAAAACAAAGAUUUCUUUCACAAGAGGUCAUCUGGACCUGUCCCGUCUUCAUCUAGUGAACCUACACCAAGGCCUAAUAUAUACUAGCGUGUUCAGAAAAAUCAAAAUCUUAGGGUUCAAGGUUCUCACUCACAAAAAGGUGAAAGUCAGUGGGUUCCAUCAUAUCCUGCUUGUAACAUUUGUGGAAAGAAUCACCCAGGCGAGUGUCUUUACGACAAAGGUGUAUGGUAUGGAUGUGGUCUGCAGAGUCAUAUGCAAAAGGUUUUUUCAUCAAAAAAGAUAGUUAAUAAGGUCAACAAAUCCUAAUCUUUUGCUUCUGUUCCUGCAAUAGGUCAGAGCACUACUUCGGGGACCAGUAGAGUUCAGAAUUGUUUGUAUGCUUUAGGAAAUUCCUAGGAUUUGGAGGCUUCUCCUAAUCUGGUUAAUAGUAUAUUGAAAUUUUUUUCUCAUGAUGUUUAUGUGCUACUUGAUCUCGGUGCUUCCUUGUCCUUUAUGACCCCAUAUGUAGCCAUGAAAUUUGGAGUUUCCCUAGAAAAAUCCUAGAGUCAUUUCUAUUUCCACUCCUGUUGGUGAGUCUAUUAUUUCUAAACAUAUUUAUACAUAUUGUGCAAUUAUCGUCCUCUAUAAAAAUGACACAGUUGACUUAUUUGAGUUGGACAUGGUGGACUUUAAGUUUAUAUUGGGUACGGACUGGUUGUAUUCAUGUUAUGCUUCCAUUGAUUUUCGAACAAGGGUGGUCAAGUUUCAGUUCCCAAUGAACCAGUUCUUAAAUGGGAAGGUAGUCCUGUCAAGCGUAUAGGAAGUUCAUAUCAUAUCUUAAGGCUCGAAAAAUGAUAUCCAAGGGGUGUAUUUACCACUUGGUCUGAGUCAACGAUUCUAAGUUAGAAAUACCUUUACUCUAGUCCGUUCCUGCUAUCAAUGAGUAUUCGAAAGUUUUUCCUGAUGAUCUUCCAAGAGCUCCUCCCAAUAAGGAAAUAGAUUUUAGGAUUGACCUUCUUCUCGAAACUCAACCUAUCUCUAUUCCACCAUAUAGAAUGGCUCCUACAAAGUUAAGAGAAUUGAAAGAGCAGCUGAAAGAUCUUUGUGAUAAAGGUUUUAUAAGGACUAGCAUUUCUCCUUGGGGUGCUCCAGUCUAGUUCGUGCGUAAUAAGGAUGGUUCACUUUGGAUAUGCAUCAAUUGUCGCCAGCUGAAUAAAGUCACUAUAAGAAUAUUUAGAUAUGUUCGUAAUCAUCUUCAUUGAUGAUAUUUUGGUCUAUUCUCGAAGUAAGGAGGAACAUGUUGAUCAUCUUAGCAUUAGUCUUAAAACACUUAAGAACUAUGAGUUGUAUGCUAAAUUCUCUAAGUGUGAAUUUUUGUUGGAGUCGGUAGCAUUUUUAGGCCAUAUAAUUUCUGGUGAAGGCAUCCAAGUUGAUUCUCAAAAGAUUGAGGAAGUGAAAAAUUUGCCCAGACCUACUACACCAUCUGAAAUUAGAAGCUUUAUGGGUUUAGUUGGUUACUAUAUGAGAUUUGGGGAGAUAUUUACCUCCAUUGCUGCUCCUUUAACUAGAUUGACUCAAAAAAUUGUCAAGUUUCAAUUGUCAUAGGCAUUUGAGAAGAGUUUUCAGGAGCUGAAAGAUCGAUUGACCUCUGCCCUAGUGUUGUCUUUAUUGGAGGGAAAUAAAGGCUUCGUGGUUUAUUGUGAUGCUUCACGAUUUGGUAUUGGUUUUGUAUUGAUGCAACGUGGUAAGGUCAUAACCUAUGCCUUGAGUAAGGAUAAAAAUAAUGAGAGUAAUUAACCCACUCACGAUCUUGAAUUAGUAGUUAUGGUCUUUUCUUUGAUGAUUUGGCAUCACUACCUUUACGGGGUACAUGUUGAUAUUUUCACUGAUCAUAAAAGCCUCCAAUAUGUUUUCAGUAAGAAGAAGUUGAAUCUCAGGGAAAGAAGGUGGCUUGAUUUAUUCAAGGACUAUGAUAUAAGUUUGCUCUAUCAUCUUGGUAAGUCAAACGUGGUUGCAGAUGCUCUUAGUAGAUUGUUUAUGAGGAGUCUUGCAUAUGUGGAUGAAGAGAAGAAAAGACUCACAAAAGAUAUUCAUUCUCUUGCUAAUUUAAGAGUCCGACUCCUAGACUCUGAGGACGAUAGGGUGCUUGUACAGAAUAUGUCAGAAUUAUUCCUAGUGUUAGAAGUUAAAGAAAAUCAAAAUAAUGAUCCCAUUCUUCCAAUUAAAGAAGAAGUUCUACAACAAAAGAUUAUGGCUAUUGGGCAAGGGGGAGAUGGUGUUCUGAGGUACCAGGGAAGACUUUGUGUCCCAAAUGUUUAUGGAUUGCAAGAAAGGAUCAUGGAAGAAGCACAUUAUUCCAGGUACUCCAUUCAUAUGGGAUCCACCAAAAUGUAUCAUGAUUUGAUGGAAAUUUACUGGUUGAACAACAUGAAGCAAAAUAUUGCUGACUUUGUACUCAAGUGCCAAAAUUGUUUGAAGGUUAAGGUCGAGCAUAAAAAACCUGGUGGUUUUUCUCAAGAUAUAGCUCUUCCAGUAGGGAAGUGGUAUAUGAUAAAGAUGGAUUUUGUGACAGGGUUACAACGUUCUCGGUAUCAACAUGAAUCAAUUUGGGUGAUUGUGGAUCAGAUGACUAAGUCUGCUUAUUUAUUGCCUGUUAAGAUGACAUACUCAGCUGAAGAUUAUGCCCGGAUAUAUAUUUGGGAACUUUUCAGGUUUCAUAGAACCAUCAUGUCUAUCAUUUCAGAGGCACCCAGUUUACUGCUCAUUUUUGGAGGUCCUUCCAGAGAGGUUUGGGUACGCAAGUUAACUUUAGUACUGCUUUCCACCCUUAGAAGGAUGGUGAAGCAGAGAGCAUUAUUAAGAUGCUAGAGGAUAUGUUGAGGGCGUGUGUACUUGACUUCAAAGUAAAUUGGGAGGAACACCUACCUCUUAUUGAGCUUACAUACCAUAAUAGUUACCACACAGCUAUUCUGAUGGCUUCUUUAAAAGCUCUAUAUAGUAGAAGAUGUAGAACUCCUGUUAGGUAGUUUGAGGUUGGCGAAAUUAAUUUAUUAGGCCCAGAUUUGGUUUAUCAAGCUGUCGAGAAGGUUAAGGUUAUUCGAGGGAGGUUGAAAAUUGCUCAGAGUCGCCAAAAAUACAACUCCUAUGAGUUAUAUUUGCCCAUAGAACUGACCUUGGUUCAUCUGGUAUUUCAUGUAUCCUUACUUAGGAAGUGUGUAGCUGACCCUACGCUUAUAGUCCCUAUGGAGAGUGUUGGUAUAAGAGAUUCAUUAAAUUAUGAAGAAGUUCCCAUUGAGAUAUUGUAUCAUCAAGUUCUCAAGUUAAUAGCAAAGAAAAUUGUUUCGUUUAAGAUGUCGUGGAGAAAUCAAAAGUUUGGGGAAGCUACAUGGGAAUCAGAGGAAGAUAUGAAGGCAAGAUAUUCUCACCUAUUCACUUAUCAAGAGGAAGGCAAUGAAGGUAAUAAUUCAAAUCCUUACUAAUGAUGUUCCAUAAAUUCUUGGUUUUCACUUUUUAAAAUCAAGCCCCAUGGUACACCUAUCUUAAAUCGUGCUUAUGUCUAGUGUUGUUUGUUCAUAAUUUGUGUUUAUCAUUUCUUUUGGAGAAUUUAUUUUUGGAAUUUCAGCAUUAUGGUGAGAAAUAUAAUCAUAAAAAAAGUUCAUUAGUAGAAGUUUCAUUCCCCAAUUCUAGUGAGUUGAAUUUCAUACGAAUAUAUAACCUUCAUUCAAGGAUAAAUGAUCCCAAGGGGUGAAUAUUGUAACAUCUCACAGUCUUUUCUUUGUGGGAUUCUUCAAGAGAAAUUUUGUCUUUUUUUUUAACAUUAUUCCAAGUAAUUAAAACCCUUUUUAUUCAUUAGUUCUAGAAAUUUAUUUUUUUGCAAAUACGUAACUUUUUAUUUCCAUCACAUAAAUCACUUUUAUAGCCCAUUAGUUUUCUGUGUUAAGCUGUCUCUUUAUUUUCCUCAAUUUCUUGUAUUAAACUCUCACUUCAUCCACCAAUUUUAAAACGUAAUAUCAUCACACAACAAUCCUAAUAACCCUCUCAAACUCAACUUCUAAUAAACUCCAUAGAAUUGGCUCAAGGGAUCAAGCUUAGUUCCUCCUUGCAAUCUAAAGUCCUUUAAACAUUUUGAGGUAUGUAGAAUCAUCUCUUGCUCAUGUUUUUGAAUACUCUCUUUUUAUGUUUUGGUGUUAUCCUUCCUUCACAUGGUAUGGUGAAAAUUAACUUGAUAUGUGGGUUAGAAACUUGAUAUUUUUAUGGAUCAAGAAUUCCUCCUACUUGUGUAGAUAACUCUGAGAAAUUCUAAAAUUUGAAUUAGACAGAAGAGUCAAAGCCCAUGUUGGGCACACUGUAAAACUUAGUUGUUGUAACUGAUAUGAUUUCAAAAGUCCUUGGCUGUUUCAAACUAAUUAUCUUGAUGCUAACAAAUACUGUCCUAUAUUGGUUUUUCUCUAUGAAUUAUACGUAAUUUAAUUAUAGCUGCUGAACAACAGGAUAUUGACUUACAUUGCCCUAUUUUUACUUGAGGUAUUAACCUGGUGAUAUGUUGUUUGUUGAUGCUCUACAAUAAACUGUGUUAGCCCAUUGCUCUUGUUUGUGAUACACAUCUGUUGAUUAUAUUGGUUCAUCUAAAUAUAAAAAUUGCAAGAAUGAUCCCCUAUGUAAAUGUGUUUUACUUGGGUACAACAAAGUUGCAAGGCACUCAUUAUAUCUUCAGUAAUUACGACAAAUUUUUCCAUGGAUUCUGUUGUUGUUUGUUCAAACUGCGGCUAGGAUUUUAUUCACUACUUAAAGGUAUAUUCUGGACAGAUUUGGUUAUACUUUUUACACAGUAUGUAAAUUGCAUCUUCCCCUGUAACUCAUAAAUAUAGUUCCCUCAAGGGAGGUGGAGGUCAUGUUUCAGUUGCAAUAAUUAUUCCAUUAACUUCGUCCAACGUGUGUUUUUCCUCUGCAGAUAAUCUGCUUGACUCUCUAACUAUUUUCUUUUAGCCUACAGUAGAUGUGGUACUACUGUGAGUCACUCAUAAUAUGACAUUGAAGCUGACUCAUUAAGUUCUUCCUUUCCUGCAAGACAAAAUAAAAUGAAAUCCUUUACAAAAAUUUUCUUCAACUUUUCUACAGAGCUAUCAAAUGGUACCAAAUGAAAAUCUUAUGAAAUUGGAGUAAUUGAAUUCCCAACAUGUGCCUAAAAUGGCUAAACUACGAACUUGAGCCUAAAAGGGCUAAACUAUGAACAUAAACCUAAUGAGGGAAACACUCCAAAUAUAAAUAUGUAAGAUAACCUCAUGAGCAUAAGGGAGUUAGUUAGAUGACCGUGACGUUUUUGGUUAAAACAACAAAUGCCCGAAACUAUGUUUGCCAACAUAGGAUAGAGAUCAUUCCGCAAGUUGGAUACUCUCUUUUCUUUCAUGUGUCCCGAAAAGAGGCUAACCAUGGAUGCUUUCUAUCAAAUUAUGUCAUGUCACAUCCUAUGCCUAGCAAGGAAUAGUACGACUUAGCUGAUUGGGUCGAGAUUAGACUCCAUGUGCUCACAUGGUGGUUUAUGAUGGUUCACUACUUUCUCCCACAAAUAAUCAAAGGAAAUAAAUUUACCUUACUCAAUUAUAAGUUUAGUUUAUAUUCUUAUUCCUUUCCGGUUGUCUUCACUUACUUUUAAUUUGAAUUUUGUUGUCAUUUAUUGUCUCUUGCUAUACUAUCUUCAUGAAAUGAUUUUGCAUACCAAUACAUUCCAUGUAUUAGCCGUAUUUGUCACUACAUCAUUUCAUGUUUUAGGUUCUGUCUCUCAAGUCUGUAGUCAGGUGCCUCAUUAGGACCUCUAUCUUCUGCCAUUGGUGAGCCUCUUUCCUACUAGGAGGCCGGAUGAUAUAUAAUGAUUAAUUUUUUUUACUUUUCUUUCAGUAUUGGUACUUCUUAGAGGAUUUACAGGAUGGUGUAGUUGUCAGGUGAUGUGUGAUCCUAUGCUAACACAUUUGAGGCUUUUAACUCUAAAUAAUUGCAAGGUCUUGAGCAACUUUAAUUAUUUUUUAUUAGUUUACUUUGAUUUUUUUUGCAGUAAAUGUUGAGAUGUAGAAGAACCAAAAAUAAUGGAAGCAAAAAAGUUGAAAUGUGAAGCAAAAUAAAGGACAAGUGUAGUUGAUGACAUUUAUGAUAAGUCGUCAGCCUGGUGAUAAGCUAUCCCGGCCAUCGUCAGCCUUAACUAGAGAAUGGGAGUUGAAGACAUUUCUGUGACGACAUUUGUGAUAAGCCAUCAGGAUGGUGAUAAGGCAUCAUUGUCGUCAUCAGCCUUAGACAGCAGAAGCCAAAAGUGCAGAGAAGCUGACGACAUCUGUGAUAAGUCGUUAGACUCCUGAUAAGCUAUCACAGAUGUCGUCGUCUAUUCUGCGAAAAGGCUGAAACUUUUAUUUUGUUUCCUUUUUUAGGGUGAACUAUUUAAAACUUUGUUUUAGGGUUUUCUAUUAUCAUCAUCAUUCUGAAAAAAGUUCGAUACCUUAAGUUUUUGAGAAUUAUUUUUGAUAUUUUUCUCUCUAUCUUUUUGUAAUCGAACAACACAACUAUUUUGGUGAUUUUCCUUUGUGAUCUAACCUACGAUUCACUGGUUAUUAUUCAUCUCUGUAAUUU
rnacentral:lncRNA from 1 species